GACGAACGCUGGCGGCGUGCCUAAUACAUGCAAGUAGAACGCUGAAGAGAGGAGCUUGCUCUUCUUGGAUGAGUUGCGAACGGGUGAGUAACGCGUAGGUAACCUGCCUUGUAGCGGGGGAUAACUAUUGGAAACGAUAGCUAAUACCGCAUAACAAUGGAUGACACAUGUCAUUUAUUUGAAAGGGGCAAUUGCUCCACUACAAGAUGGACCUGCGUUGUAUUAGCUAGUAGGUGAGGUAAUGGCUCACCUAGGCGACGAUACAUAGCCGACCUGAGAGGGUGAUCGGCCACACUGGGACUGAGACACGGCCCAGACUCCUACGGGAGGCAGCAGUAGGGAAUCUUCGGCAAUGGGGGCAACCCUGACCGAGCAACGCCGCGUGAGUGAAGAAGGUUUUCGGAUCGUAAAGCUCUGUUGUAAGUCAAGAACGGGUGUGAGAGUGGAAAGUUCACACUGUGACGGUAGCUUACCAGAAAGGGUCGGCUAACUACGUG
rnacentral:rRNA from 1 species